rnacentral:rRNA from 1 species
UACGUAGGGGGCAAGCGUUGUCCGGAUUUAUUGGGCGUAAAGAGCGUGUAGGCGGCCUGAAAGGUCAGCUGUGAAAACUCGAGGCUCAACCUCGAGACGUCGGUUGAAACCAUCUGGCUAGAGUCCGGAAGAGGAGAGUGGAAUUCCCGGUGUAGCGGUGAAAUGCGCAGAUAUCGGGAAGAACACCUAUGGCGAAGGCAGCUCUCUGGGACGGUACUGACGCUGAGACGCGAAAGCGUGGGGAGCGAACAGG